UACGUAGGGGGCAAGCGUUGUCCGGAAUCAUUGGGCGUAAAGCGCGUGUAGGCGGUCCGAUAAGUCGGUUGUGAAAGUCAAGGGCUCAACCCUUGAAUGCCGACCGAUACUGUCGGGCUAGAGUCCGGAAGAGGUGAGUGGAAUUCCUGGUGUAGCGGUGAAAUGCGCAGAUAUCUGGAGGAACACCGGUGGCGAAGGCGGCGUUCUGGACUGCUACUGACACUGAGGAACGAAAGCCAGGGGAGCAAACGGG
rnacentral:rRNA from 1 species